rnacentral:tRNA from 1 species
GCCCGAGUGGCUCAGUCGGUUGAGCGUCCGACUUCAGCACGGGUCACGAUCUCACAGUCUGUGAGUUCGGGCCCCACGUCGGGCU